CCUACGGGGGCUGCAGUGGGGAAUUUUGGACCAUGGGCGCAAGCCUGAUCCAGCCAUUCCGCGUGCAGGACGAAGGCCUUCGGGUUGUAAACUGCUUUUGUACGGAACGAAAGGGCUCUCUCUAAUACAGGGGGCAUAUGACGGUACCGUAAGAAUAAGCACCGGCUAACUACGUGCCAGCAGCCGCGGUAAUACGUAGGGUGCAAGCGUGGAUCGGAAUUACUGGGCGUAAAGCGUGCAAGGGCGGUUUGAAAUCCCCGGGCUCAACCUGGGAACGGCCUUUGUGACUGCAAAGCUGGAGUGCGGCAGAGGGGGAUGGAAUUCCGCGUGUAGCAGUGAAAUGCGUAGAUAUGCGGAGGAACACCGAUGGCGAAGGCAAUCCCCUGGGCCUGCACUGACGCUCAUGCACGAAAGCGUGGGGAGCAAACAGGAUUAGAUACCCUAGUAGUC
rnacentral:rRNA from 1 species